rnacentral:rRNA from 1 species
AUUGAACGCUGGCGGCAUGCUUUACACAUGCAAGUCGAACGGUAACAGGCCUUCGGGUGCUGACGAGUGGCGAACGGGUGGGUAAUGCAUCGGAACGUACCCAGAGGUGGGGGAUAACGCAGCGAAAGCUGUGCUAAUACCGCAUGUGAUCUGAGGAUGAAAGCGGGGGACCGAGCAGCAAUGUUUGGCCUCGCGCCUUUGGAGCGGCCGAUGUCGGAUUAGCUAGUUGGUGGGGUAAAGGCCUACCAAGGCGACGAUCCGUAGCUGGUCUGAGAGGACGACCAGCCACACUGGGACUGCGACACGGCCCAGACUCCUACGGGAGGCAGCAGUGGGGAAUUUUGGACAAUGGGCGCAAGCCUGAUCCAGCAAUGCCGCGUGCGGGAAGAAGGCCUUCGGGUUGUAAACCGCUUUUGGCAGGAACGAAACGGUGUCCGCUAAUACCGGGCGCUAAUGACGGUACCUGCAGAAUAAGCACCGGCUAACUACGUG